GGUUGCGUGGUGUAGUUGGUUAUCACAUCUGUCUCACACACAGGAGGUCCCCGGUUCGAACCCGGGCGCAAUCA
rnacentral:tRNA from 1 species